GAUGAACGCUGGCGGCGUGCUUAACACAUGCAAGUCGAACGGAAAGGCCCAACCUUGCUGGGGUACUCGAGUGGCGAACGGGUGAGUAACACGUGGGUGAUCUGCCCUGCACUUCGGGAUAAGCCUGGGAAACUGGGGCUAAUACCGGAUAGGACCACCUCCUGGAUGGUGGGGGGGGGAGAGUUUUCGGGGUGGGGUGAGCUCGCGGCCUAUCAGCUUGUGGGGGGGGGAAUGGCCUACCAAGACGUCGAGGGGUAGCGGGCCCGAGAGGGGGUACGGGCCCAUUGUGGCUGUGAUACGCCCCACACUCCUACGCGAGGCAGCGGUGUGGAAUAUUUCACACUGGGCGCAAGCCCGAUGCAGAGCCGCGGCGUGGGCGAUGACGGCCUUCGCGUGGUGAACUCCUCUCGCUCCGGACGCAGCGUUUUGUGACGGUACCUGGAGAAGAAGCCCCGGCUUACUUCGUG
rnacentral:rRNA from 1 species